rnacentral:rRNA from 1 species
AACGAACGCUGGCGGCGUGCCUAACACAUGCAAGUCGAGCGAGAAAGCACCUUCGGGUGUGAGUAAAGCGGCGCACGGGUGAGUAAUGCAUGGGUAACCUGCCUUCGAGUGGGGGAUAACCUCGGGAAACCGGGGCUAAUACCGCAUGAUAAGUCUCCGUCCUCGGGUGGAGACUUCAAAGCCGGCCUCUCCUUGGAAGCUGGCGCUUGAAGAGGGGCCCAUGUCCCAUUAGCUUGUUGGUGGGGUAACGGCCUACCAAGGCUGCGAUGGGUAGCCGACCUGAGAGGGUGAUCGGCCACACUGGGACUGAGACACGGCCCAG